GGUCCGUCGCCGCUGGAUUCCACGCGGAGCACGCGGCACCACGGGCUGGUGGAGCGCGUCCAGCGGGACCCGCGCCGGAUGAUGUCCCCCCUGCGCCGCUACGUCCGGCAGAUCGACAGCUCUCCCUACGGACCCACGUACCUGUCGCCUCCGCCUGAGCCCAGCUGGAGGAGGACCAUGCCCUGGAGCAAUUUCCCGAUGGAAAAAGGACAUUUAUUCCGGCUGCCCUCAGCUCUCAACAGGUGAUGGAUUGUUUGAUUCCGUUUUCUCCCUGUCCCCAAGCCAGGCUCCCGCCUUUCCCUGUGGACAAAGUGGCCCUGGGGACUCCUGGGGGGGCCCUGGGACCCCCCUGGGGAGGAGGUGGCCCCUGACUCCCCCUCGGGGCCCCCCUGUCCUCCCCUGUGCCACAGCUGAACAAUGUCCCUCUUUGUCACUCACCCCAGCUGCCUUUCCCAGCCCUUCCCUGCCCUCCUCCACCUCGAACAGCUCAUUGGGAACACCCCGGGUGCCCCCAGCCCCUAAAGGGUUCCCAGGGGGUCCCAGGGGGUGCCAUUGUCCCCCCAUGCCAGGGGAGGUGGAGGAGACGGGAGCAGAGCCCGUCUGGGGGAGAGGGAUCCCGGUGGGGAGGGG
rnacentral:lncRNA from 1 species